AGUGAACGCUGGCGGUAGGCCUAACACAUGCCAGUCGAACGGCAGCACAGUAAGAGCUUGCUCUUACGGGUGGCGAGUGGCGGACGAGUGAGGAAUACAUCGGAAUCUACUUUUUCGUGGGGGAUAACGUAGGGAAACUUACGCUAAUACCGCAUACGACCUACGGGUGAAAGCAGGGGAUCUUCGGACCUUGCGCGAUUGAAUGAGCCGAUGUCGGAUUAGAUAGUUGGCGGGGUAAAGGCCCACCAAGGCGACGAUCCGUAGCUGGUCUGAGAGGAUGGUCAGCCACACUGGAACGGAGACACGGUCCAGACUCCUACGGGAGGCAGCAGUGGGGAAUAUUGGACAAUGGGCGCAAGCCUGAUCCAGCCAUACCGCGUGGGUGAAGAAGGCCUUCGGGUUGUAAAGCCCUUUUGUUGGGAAAGAAAAGCAGCAGGUUAAUACCCCGCUGUUCUGACGGUACCCAAAGAAUAAGCACCGGCUAACUUCGUG
rnacentral:rRNA from 1 species